rnacentral:rRNA from 1 species
CAUGCCUAAGACAUGCAAGUCGUACGAGGAGGCCCUAUGAAAUUGGAGUGCUUGCACAAAGAUAGAUUAGGAUUUCUCCUAGUGGCGGACGGGUGAGUAACACGUGGGUAAUCUGCCUUUAAGUUGGGGACAACAGUUGGAAACGACUGCUAAUACCGAAUAUGAUAUAGAAAUGAUUUUUCUAUAUUGAAAGAUGCCUUUAAAGCAUCGCUUAAAGAUGAGCCUGCGGCGUAUUAGCUAGUUGGUAGGGUAACGGCCUACCAAGGCAACGAUGCGUAGCCGAACUGAGAGGUUGAUCGGCCACAUUGGGACUGAGACACGGCCCAAACUCCUACGGGAGACAGCAGUUAGGAAUAUUCGUCAAUGGGGGCAACCCUGAACGAGCAAUGCCGCGUGAGUGAUGACGGUCCUUUGGAUUGUAAAACUCUGUUGUAUGGGAAGAACACUAAAUAUAGGAAAUGAUAUUUAGCUGACGGUACCAUACCAGAAAGCCCCGGCUAACUACGUGCCAGCAGCUGC